CCGAGUGAAGGCCUCUCUCCUCGCUGUCAAGGCUCCAUCAGCUGGCCCAUGAAGAGGAUUGUCUCUGUGGACACAAGAGUCACAACAGCUAUAUAGCCAAGGAUGGCCCUGGACUUACUCUUCAGCACACCUGGCUGAUGAGCUGAGCGUGCAAGCCAGGACUCACUGAGACUGGAGCUGAAGGGAGAGCUGAAGAUGGGUGAAUGGACACUGAAUUCCGUCCCCCACCCCUUACCUCUGGUGUGCCUCUCCACCCAGUCAUUGAUGAUGAAUCUGGCUCUCUCCACCUCCGAGAAGUCCACCUGCUUCACUGUGGUCCGGAAGAGCUUGAAGAAGUGGGGCAUGAAGCCCUGGACCAGCUCCAGGUCUCUCUGGACGAAGAUGGCGUCGGCGGUGCUAAUCUCGUUCUGGUUCCACGGCCCCAUGAGCUCCUUGGACAGCUGACGGAGGGCAGGAGCUGUGGUCUUCUCUGCAGAGUUUUUUGAACAGGUCUCACCGGGCACAUCAGGGUGGCUGGACACUACUGUUUAGUUCAGGCUGACUUUGAACUCACAGAGAACUGCCCGCCUCUACCUCCUGAGUCCUGGGACUAAAGGUGUGUGCCCCCAUGCUGUCUCCCUCUCUCUUUCUUCUCUCCUCUCCCCAUUCCUCUCUGGGAAGGAUUUCACACUUUAACACAGACUGCAUAAACUGGUUUGCCACUCACUAUAUAGUCCUAGAUGUCUUGGGAGCUAACAGAAAUCCCCCUGCCUUUACCUCCCCUGUGCUGCGAUUAGAGGCAUACACUGCUAUACUCAGCUCUCAUAUUUUAACCCUUUUGUGCAUCCUGUCCCAAAGAGUCUCAGCUAAAGAUUUAUUUAUUAUUUAGAGUGCAGGCCAGAAGAGGGCACCAGAUCUCAUUACAGAUGGUUGUGGACCACAAUGUGGGUGCUGGGAAUUGAACUCAGGACCUCUGGAAGAGCAGUCACUGAGCUCUCCAGCCCCUCAAUUCUUAAAUUGUAAACAUUAGUUUGCUUCCCCCCCUGUCCCUUACCCUUCACUAGUGCUGGGAUUACAGGUAUGGCCGCCCUGCUUGGCUUGCUCUUUUGUUUGAUUUUGUGACAGGGCCUUGCUCUCUAUCCCAGCCUGGAGUGGCGCUUGCUAUGUAGCCCAGGCUGGCCCCAAUUCAUCAUCUUCCUCCCUCAGGCUCCCAAGGGCUGGGAUUACAGGUCUCAUGCAAUCCAAGCUGUUGCUGAAUUUAAUACAUAGUUAAGUACAAGCCUGAACUCCUGAUCCUCCUGCCUCCAGUUCCCUAGGAAUGUGGUUACAGCUAUACCCCACCGUCUCCAGUUUCAUUUGGUGCUGGGGAUAGAACCCAGGGCUUUGCACCUGCUAAGCAAGCUGCAUCCCCAGUGCCAAGGGGAUACAAGCACAGUUUGUAUGUUCUAUAUCUAUUGGUUGGGUACAUCAUGGACAAGUCAAGUCCUUCUGACCCAGAAGCUGGAGAGAGAAUGGUGGUCCCUGGGCUGCAGCUAGAGGUGACUGGACUUGGCCGUGCUGCAGCCUGGCCUUCUCUGCCUCCUCUGUUUGCUCUGGCCCCUAGUCCUCGAGAACCUCCUAACUCUCUCCGCCUCCCACCCUGCCCCCGGCUCUCACCGCUGAUUUUGAAUCCCAUAGCAUCUUGGAUCUGCUGCUGCGUUUUCCCUGCCGUGGUCAGCUGCAGCAUGGCCAGCACCGAGGACACCCCAUAGGGAGAGAAAACCACGUUCCGGUCCUUGGAGGCCUGGACCACAUGCUUAAACACUUUUACUCCGAAGUCGGUGGCCUGAUGGGCUGUGCGGGACUCUUGAAGAUGUAAAGCCGAGCUUUUCCCAAAGACCAGAAGCAGGCCCAGGGUGAGGCAGACUCGCGCUGAAGCCAUCUUCAUCCUACGGUAAAUGGAAGGGAAUCUGAUAAGGAGAGGCUUCUGGAAGACUGCCCGGAGGGGGACACGGUGCCUCAGGCAAGGACUAGGCUCCCUGGGUUUGCCUUUAGCCUGUAAGAGAUCAGUCCAGUAAAUUCACAAUCAUUCAGAUCCCAUAACGCAAUUGGAUGAUGAGCUCAUCCCUUCUGCCUCCAACCAAUUCUUUUAAUUUUUUCCAGACAGAGUCUUGUUAUGUUACCCAGGUUGGUCUUGAACACAGGAUCCUCCUGUUUCAAUUCUCCCAAGUACAGGGAUCACAGGCAUGCAUUACUGCCCAUAGACCCUGCUUGAUUUUUAUCAUAAACCACCCUCAAUUUUUACCUGUGGAAAUCUUAGAAGAACACCCUGUGCGUCUCUCUUCCCCUCCGUGGGGCGGAGGGACCUUUGGACAAUGACAGCUUUUGGUUUGCAAGUUUUUUGUUGUUCUCUUAUCACAAUUCCCCAACCACUGCUUCGAUCAAGUUAGCAGUAUGAAAAACUUCUCUGGGGCCAGGAGGACGGCCCAGUGGGUAAAGGCACUUGCCAUCAAGCCUGACGACCUGAGUUCUAGUCUUGGGACCCACAUGGCAGAGAGCAAGCUGACUCCUUAAAGUUGUCCUCUGAUUUCCACACUCACUGUGACACAUGAAUAUGUACACACGCAUGCACAUAUAAAUGCAAUUUUAAAGUG